rnacentral:lncRNA from 1 species
GUGGACAUUAUCCAGGAAUGAUGUUUUUACUAAAACCAUGGAUUCUGAGUCUUUAUAUGUCUCCAGAGAAAAGGCUGCAAUAUUUGAAAGGCUCUAUCAACAUCAAACAAAGAAACCCUGGCACCUGGACACUGUUCACAUCAAGGCCCUCUCACUCGAGCACGCUUGAUUCAGGAUAGCCCUGCUGAGAGGGGUCAAGGCUGAUGUUCUUCUUGAAACCCUUUGUUGGUACAUCAGAACCGUAAAGUCAGUGUGGCAGGGCAGUGUCCUUGCUGGAAGUGUUUUGGGAUACCCUGAGCAGAGAGCACAGUGCUGUGACCCCACUGGUGCAGCCUGACCAUCGGACCCCUCAGACCUGAGGUUCAGCCAUAUUUCCCUGAAGAAAUGAUGUUCUGGAGUGUGCAACCAGAAGUAACCACGAGGCAGGAGCUGGAAGCUGAAACUUGCAGCACAAGCCUGGCCCAGGCUGGUGUCAGGGGACAACUUCUGCAGCAGUCCCUGCCUGGAAGGAAGCCCUCCUCCCGCUGCCCCUGCUGCAUCUGGAGACAUUGUGAGAACCUUGGAGCACAAAGGCCUUUGGACAUCUCAGCAAUGGAGAAUUUUGUCUCCAAAAUUCCUGGUCUAUUUUUGAAAUGUGGCCAUUAUGUGAGAGAAAAUUUAUCUAGAACUCAGCACUUCUGGAGGUCGCAGAUGAGGACACAUCACUCAGUGAUUCUACUACUGAACAGUGUGUGUAGCUCAUACAGAGGAGGACUUGGCUCAGCCUACCCUAAAUUUGCCUUCAGUGCAACAUCCACGCUUGAUCAUAGCUGGAGCUUCCUCUCAUCAAAGCAGAAAAUAAGUAGAAGAACCAACCACCUGCCACUCACUUGGUCACCUCUACAAAACCAGGCUGGGGCUGAGAAUCAAUAGCAACGACACGGAACUUUUGUG